rnacentral:rRNA from 1 species
UGAGCUGGGGGUGGCCGCAGAGACCAGCGAGAAGCGACUGUUUACUAAAAACACAGGUCCGUGCGAAGCCGUAAGGCGAUGUAUACGGACUGACGCCUGCCCGGUGCUGGAACGUUAAGGGGACCGGUUAGCUCACUUUCGGGUGGGCGAAGCUGAGAACUUAAGCGCCAGUAAACGGCGGUGGUAACUAUAACCAUCCUAAGGUAGCGAAAUUCCUUGUCGGGUAAGUUCCGACCUGCACGAAUGGCGUAACGACUUCUCGACUGUCUCAACCAUAGGCCCGGUGAAAUUGCACUACGAGUAAAGAUGCUCGUUUCGCGCAGCAGGACGGAAAGACCCCGGGACCUUUACUACAGUUUGAUAUUGGUGUUCGGUUCGGCUUGUGUAGGAUAGCUGGGAGACUGUGAAGCUCGCACGCCAGUGUGGGUGGAGUCGUCGUUGAAAUACCAGUCUGGUCGUGCUGGAUGUCUAACCUGGGUCCGUGAUCCGGAUCAGGGACAGUGUCUGAUGGGUAGUUUAACUGGGGCGGUUGCCUCCUAAAGGGUAACGGAGGCGCCCAAAGGUUCCCUCAGCCUGGUUGGCAAUCAGGUGUUGAGUGUAAGUGCACAAGGGAGCUUGACUGUGAGACCGACGGGUCGAGCAGGGACGAAAGUCGGGACUAGUGAUCCGGCGGUGGCUUGUGGAAGCGCCGUCGCUCAACGGAUAAAAGGUACCCCGGGGAUAACAGGCUGAUCUUCCCCAAGAGUCCAUAUCGACGGGAUGGUUUGGCACCUCGAUGUCGGCUCGUCGCAUCCUGGGGCUGGAGUCGGUCCCAAGGGUUGGGCUGUUCGCCCAUUAAAGCGGUACGCGAGCUGGGUUUAGAACGUCGUGAGACAGUUCGGUCCCUAUCCGCUGUGCGCGUAGGAGUCUUGAGAAGGGCUGUCCCUAGUACGAGAGGACCGGGACGGACGAACCUCUGGUGUGCCAGUUGUUCUGCCAAGGGCAUGGCUGGUUGGCUACGUUCGGGAGGGAUAACCGCUGAAAGCAUCUAAGCGGGAAGCCUGCUUCGAGAUGAGGACUCCCACCCACUUGAUGGGGUAAGGCUCCCAGUAGACGACUGGGUUGAUAGGCCGGAUCUGGAAGCACGGUAACGUGUGGAGGUGACCGGUACUAAUAGGCCGAGGGCUUGUCC